GAUGAACGCUAGCGGCAGGCCUAAUACAUGCAAGUCGAACGGGCUUAUGUUUUUCGGAAUAUGAGUUAGUGGCGCACGGGUGAGUAACACGUACAUAACCUACCUUCAAGAGGGGGAUAGCCUUGGGAAACUGAGAGUAAUACCCCAUAGUAUCAAGUUGCGGCAUCGUGAGUUGAUUAAAGCUGAGGUGCUUGAAGAUGGAUGUGCGUCUGAUUAGCUAGUUGGUGAGGUAACGGCUCACCAAGGCGACGAUCAGUAGGGGGCGUGAGAGCGUGGCCCCCCACACGGGUACUGAGACACGGGCCCGACUCCUACGGGAGGCAGCAGUAGGGAAUAUUGGACAAUGGGCGCAAGCCUGAUCCAGCCAUCCGCGUGAAGGAUUAAGGCC
rnacentral:rRNA from 1 species